GUAUAGAAGCACAAGAGGCGAAGCUCUGUUUUGUUAUGGGUAACAGUCAGUAGAUGGCGCUGCGGAGCCACGGCCGCCAUUAGGGACUGAAAGCACAACUGUGAAGAUGUGCAAAGUGGUCGAAACGCAAGCAGUGUUCUGCAAUAAAUUGCAAAAAUUAUCAGUCCACCAGAAGCGAUUUGGCAUUUCAUCGGUUUCCAAAGGAUGCACAAAGGUGUGCCAGGUGGGUCCAGAAUCUAAGGAAUGCAUCCCUUCAUGGCAUACCUUUGGAUCAGCUGCAUCGGACCUACAGGGUGUGCAGUGCCCAUUUCCACAGCAGCCAGUUCAAAAGACCAUCUGAUGUCCAUGGUGGGCUGAACUGGGAUGCUGUGCCCACAAGAAUACAGGCCCCUAACCCACCUCCCCCACUAGAUGUCGAGAGGAAGCGUAAACCUCCGAAGACACGCCAGGAGUUGCCACGUAAAAAACGCAAGCAGAGUCAAGUUCCUCCUCCCUCCAAAGACCAGCAUACCGGGGAAGCUGUAGCGGGGCCUUCAUCACGGGCGCACUACACUGAGGAAGCUGUAGCGGGGCCUUCAUCAAUCAGUUAUUGUUCAUUUUUAGAAAUCUAUACAAAACUUGAACUGGCUAGUAGCUGACUAAUGCUUCCAUUCUAUGUCAGUGCCUCUUCUCUCACAAAAAGAAAAAAAUACAACAAAACUUAAAUGCUCACACAAUAGAUGGUGGUGUCUGAUUAAUUACUGAGAUCUUAUGGCUCCAUUUUAGUACUGUUUAUAGUUCAUGUGUGCACUUGCUAGAUUGCACAUCUUUUUUGUACCUUUCCGCCUGUAAUAGGACAUUCACAGAUUGUUUUUGUUCUUGCCAUUGAAACGUUCACUGUGUGCACUUUCAAUGAAGAUGUUGAAAAAACUAGUUAAUAUUUUUGUGAUAUUCUAUGUAAAAGAUUAACUCGUAAGAAAUGUUCAUUUAUAAUUUUAUUUAUUUAUUUUUCCAAAUCAUAUAUGGUGAUGUUCAAUCAUUUCAAAAUCAACAUUUGAAUAAAUGUUAUUACUGUG